rnacentral:rRNA from 1 species
CCUACGGGAGGCAGCAGUAGGGAAUCUUCCACAAUGGACGAAAGUCUGAUGGAGCAACGCCGCGUGAAGGAAGAAGUAUUUCGGUAUGUAAACUUCUAUCAGCAGGGAAGAAAAUGACGGUACCUGACUAAGAAGCCCCGGCUAACUACGUGCCAGCAGCCGCGGUAAUACGUAGGGGGCAAGCGUUAUCCGGAUUUACUGGGUGUAAAGGGAGCGUAGGCGGUUUAGCAAGUCAGAAGUGAAAGCCCGGGGCUCAACUCCGGGACUGCUUUUGAAACUGUUGAACUAGAUUGCAGAAGAGGUAAGUGGAAUUCCUGGUGUAGCGGUGAAAUGCGUAGAUAUUAGGAGGAACACCAGUGGCGAAGGCGGCUUACUGGACUGUAAAUGACGCUGAGGCUCGAAGGCGUGGGGAGCGAACAGGAUUAGAUACCCGAGUAGUC